GCCGGGAUGGUGGAAUAGGUAGACACAAGGGACUUAAAAUCCCUCGGAAGCGAAAACCUCCGUGCCGGUUCGAUUCCGGUUCCCGGCA
rnacentral:tRNA from 1 species